rnacentral:lncRNA from 1 species
GGCCAGAGGACUUUUACAGAAACAUGGCCAUUUGGAGCCAUCUGAUGUUAUGAAGGAACAGGAUCAGACCCACCAACAUUCUUCAGCCAUAUCCCUGCCUUAGAGAUCUAAAUCAUGUAAGAAAAUCAUUUUCAGAUGGUUUAUGUUUAAUAAGAUUCUGCGAGUAAAUAGUAAAUCAUACUCAUUGUAAAAUGUUGGACUUUUGUUUCUAAAAGUCACAGGACUUUGGCAUUUAAAUGCGAUGAAGCUGAUGAACAGCAAGAGUUUUAUUAAAUUAAAAUGUAUGUAUUUCUAUCUUUGUGUUUAUGUGUCCGAUGACGGAUGAACGGGAUUGGAUCCUCAAUUAAGCAAACCCCCACUUCAUUCUUGAACUGAAGAAUCGCUGGAGGAUCUUUUUUGAGAGGGACCAGUUUUGUGGAGUUUUUUUUUUUUUAAAAAGGGAUGAAUCUUCCAAAGAGAGAUGAAGGUAAUUGCAAACUUAAGUGCAGUCAUGCUCAUUGGCUGUGUCAGUUUUGUGCUUUUGUACAGGUGUGUCUGCCAUUUUGUCCUAUAGACGUUAAAUAAUUGUAUAAAAUGUGCAGUUAUUAAUCCUUGUGCUCUCAUAGGCAUGUUAAAAUUUAAAGUGGGGUCAUCUGGACCCCACAAGACGGAGCUUUUAUUUGCAAGGAUUUUUUUUAUCUUCACUGGUUUUCGUGGCAGACAUAAAAUCCCGUCCACCUCUAUCAUGGGAGGGAUCACACGUCAGUGUUAGCGUGAGAUCAUCUGGACCCCAUAAGAGAGCACAAGGGUUAACUGGUGGUGGCUAAAUGUAUGUACUGUAACAUCCUUAAAUCUUGUCAUUUCUUUGUAUUUUUUUAAAUUAUUUAUUAAAUGUAUUUUUACAGUGAAUGAAAUGAUGCUGUUUUGUUUUUCACAGUAAAGCAAACAGUUGUCUAGAUGAAGCCUUUGCCAGACAUGAUCCCAUCGCCUGUCGCUCCACCCAAGAAGCUAAGACAUUCAAAUGAGGUGAUGCUUCACAUCCUCCAGUCGGCAGAACACCCCAACAUCUUUCUUCAAUCAAGACCUUUCUUCAGUCUUGUGGUGAUCGUCUGUGACACCAACCGAAUAACUACCAUUGGAACCAUUUCUGUGCUGAUCUUCAGGACGUAUCUGACAGCGUGAUGUAUAUCAUGGCAUGUUACUACAUCUUUCACCUUACGUAUCCCAAGUGUAGCAGGACACUCCUGUUUGUGCUGCAGACAGAAGACCUUAUGGACACGAUCCAUGCCAGAGACAUGACUUCCUCUAACAAAAAAGUAAAUGCUAUUACAACUAUGUAUGUUGAUGUUCAGUCCAGAUGUUUACAGAUGUGAUUGUUAAAAUGUGAAGUUUUUCUACCAGUUUUCUAAGUUACAACAUCAUUUGUUCUGCUCUUCUUAUGAUGACUUUAGCCUUUCUGGAAUCAGUACGGGCUUUUUUAUUUUUUAUCAUACUUCUAGUUAUGUUGCCUAAACAGACAACAUUUAAGUUUCUCAGUAUCCUAUCACACAUUCUUGUGAGAUACUCAUUGUUAUUAAACUUACAGCACUGUUUGUAGUCAUCUGCAUGUCUGUUUUCAACCUAGACCAGCAAUACUUGUGUUUGUUUCCAGUCAUGAGCUCCUCAAAUGCAAUAAAGAAG